rnacentral:rRNA from 1 species
UACAGGAGGGUGCAAGCGUUGUUCGGAAUUAUUGGGCGUAAAGGGCGCGUAGGCGGUGCGGUAAGUCUCUAGUGGAAAUUCUCCGGGGCUCAACUCGGAGCCUGCUAGGGAACUGCCGUGCUAGAGUGCGGGAGAGGCGAGUGGAAUUGCAGGUGUAGCGGGUUGGAAAAUGCGUAGAUAUCUGCAGGGAACACCCCGUGGCGAAGGCGGCUCGUGGGACCGC